rnacentral:rRNA from 1 species
AUGAGGAAUAUUGCGCAAUGGGCGAAAGCCUGACGCAGCGACGCCGCGUGGGUGAGGAAGUUCUUCGGAAUGUAAAGCCCUUUUGUCGGGGACGAUCACAGACGGUACCCGACGAAUAAGCCCCGGCUAACUACGUGCCAGCAGCCGCGGUAAUACGUAGGGGGCAAGCGUUGUCCGGAUUUACUGGGCGUAAAGAGCGCGUAGGCGGAGAUCUAAGCGUGGCCUGAAAGCCCCCGGCUCAACCGGGGAGUGCGGCUGCGAACUGGGUUUCUUGAGGACGAUAGAGGAGAGUGGAAUUCCUGGUGUAGCGGUGAAAUGCGUAGAUAUCAGGAGGAACACCCGAGGCGAAGGCGGCUCUCUGGGUCGUACCUGACGCUGAGGCGCGAAAGCGUGGGGAGCGAACGGGAUUAGAAACCCCAGUAGUCC